CUAAGGGCUUUUAUAAAAGCCAUGUUUAAAUUUAAUGAAUUUUUAU
rfam:Physcomitrella patens subsp. patens PHYPAscaffold_117 genomic scaffold, whole genome shotgun sequence.